GCUCGGCUAGCUUACUCGGUAGAGCGUAAGACUCUUAAUCUCAGGGUCGUGGCUUAGAUCCCCACGUUGGGCA
rfam:Danio rerio chromosome 4, GRCz11 reference primary assembly.